CUUGGUCGUUUGCCAAGAUAUAUCCUAAAUUGAAACAAUACAGAGAAAUUUAGCAUGGCCUUUGUGCAAGAAUGACAGGUAAAUUUUAAAAAAACCAAAAAACUGU
rnacentral:snRNA from 1 species